UUGCUUCAGCAGUAUGUAUGUUAAAAUUGGAACAAUCGAUGUACAGAAGAUUAACAUGGCACCUGAACAAAGUUAACCCACACAUUCAUAAAGCAUUCCAUAUUUUU